UAGGGGGCGGUGAGCUGCGGCCGUGGAUAAUAUCUUCGCUCUCCGGGAUAGCUUGGGGAUUUCUCGUCUCGCCGUCUUGGUCGUGGGUGUGUUCGGGCUCGUUGGCGACUCGCCAUUAGCCCAGGCAGGCAGCUUCCACUAUCGACUGUCGAGUGGGUGUAUAUUGCCGGCCUAUGCAACCUUUUCGGGGCCGCCCGUCUCACUUUCCUCUUGUUAUUUCCGCUUCUUCCUCCCAAUCCUCUCUUCCUUGUUUCGUCCGUUCGGAAGCUGCAUCCUGUAGAUCGGCCGCCCUUCGCGCCUGCCACGCGAUUCGCGCCUUCGGCGGUGGCCGGUGCUGCUCCAUGGCGGCCCUCUGCCGCGUGUUCGGUUAAGGUCAUCGCUUGGCUGGGAUUUCCGCGUCGGUUGGCAGCGGCUGCUCUUGCUGAUCUGUUGUCUACUUCUGUUCUUGGCUAGCUGCUGCCGUGGGUUGGUUGUUCUGCCUGUCAGUCAGUUGCAGAUGUGAAGAGUAUUCAUUUGCACCAAGAAGCUCUAGGAGUUGGGAGGAAGGAGGAGUCCAGGGCCAUCCAUUGGCGGUGGCAGAAUGCUCAGGGUCGAGUUGGAGGUGAACAACAAGAGGCAUGCCAGAGGGUCACCAUCUUUGGAGCACACCAUUAGCCCAGACCAUCACCACAAGAAAUGGAGU